AGAGUUUGAUCCUGGCUCAGGAUGAACGCUAGCGGCAGGCCUAACACAUGCAAGUCGAGGGGCAGCACGGUGUAGCAAUACACUGGUGGCGACCGGCGCACGGGUGCGUAACGCGUAUGCAACCUACCCAUAACAGGGGGAUAACACUGAGAAAUUGGUACUAAUACCCCAUAACAUCAGGACCGGCAUCGGUUCUGGUUGAAAACUCCGGUGGUUAUGGAUGGGCAUGCGUUGUAUUAGCUGGUUGGUGAGGUAACGGCUCACCAAGGCAACGAUACAUAGGGGGACUGAGAGGUUAACCCCCCACACUGGUACUGAGACACGGACCAGACUCCUACGGGAGGCAGCAGUGAGGAAUAUUGGUCAAUGGACGCAAGUCUGAACCAGCCAUGCCGCGUGCAGGAAGACGGCUCUAUGAGUUGUAAACUGCUUUUGUACGAGGGUAAACGCAGAUACGUGUAUCUGUCUGAAAGUAUCGUACGAAUAAGGAUCGGCUAACUCCGUGCCAGCAGCCGCGGUAAUACGGAGGAUCCAAGCGUUAUCCGGAUUUAUUGGGUUUAAAGGGUGCGUAGGCGGUUUGAUAAGUUAGAGGUGAAAUUUCGGGGCUCAACCCUGAACGUGCCUCUAAUACUGUUGAGCUAGAGAGUAGUUGCGGUAGGCGGAAUGUAUGGUGUAGCGGUGAAAUGCUUAGAGAUCAUACAGAACACCGAUUGCGAAGGCAGCUUACCAAACUAUAUCUGACGUUGAGGCACGAAAGCGUGGGGAGCAAACAGGAUUAGAUACCCUGGUAGUCCACGCAGUAAACGAUGAUAACUCGUUGUCGGCGAUACACAGUCGGUGACUAAGCGAAAGCGAUAAGUUAUCCACCUGGGGAGUACGUUCGCAAGAAUGAAACUCAAAGGAAUUGACGGGGGCCCGCACAAGCGGAGGAACAUGUG
rnacentral:rRNA from 1 species